GGCGGAGUUGGGACCCGCAGUGCCCGCCCGCCAGCCCGCCCGCCGCUUUGGCUGCUAGCUCGGGCGGCCGAAGCUCUCGGCUCCCGGACUGGAGGCGCGCAGGCGGACAGGCAGGCGGGCGGGCGGCUGCAGCGCUGCUGCUGCGCGGCCGGGCUAGGGCUCGGACCGCGGGGCUGUUCCUGCUCUUUCCUGCAGACGCCGGGUUCUGCGGCGCGCCCGGGCCCUCCCUGCUCCCGAGGCGGCUGCGGCUGCGGCAGUGGAGGCUCCCGGCUCCCGGCCCUCGGAUCCCAGCUCCCCGUGUAGCCGCCCACCCCAGCGGGCCCCGGAGAACAAGGGAGCCCGGGGGCGACCCGCUCGGGGUUUGCGUGCGCCCCCGAGUCAUGGAGAGGGGCCGGUAAGGGGCGCACGGAGGCGCAGGAGGAGGAGGGGCCGAGAAGGAGGAGGAGGAGGAGAAGGAGGAAGAAUACGAGAGAUCUGAAAGGAGAGCCCGAGGAAGAGGAGGAGGAAGAGAGAUCCGAGAACAGGAGGAGGAGGAGGAGGCUGAGAGGGCCGAGGGCGGAGGAUGCCUCCGCUGCCGCCGCCGGCGCCCGCGGAUUCGGACAGAGCCUGAGACGGAGCGGGAUGGAGCCCGCGCUGGGCGCUGCAGCGGCUCCCGGCGCAGCCCAGACCAGGUGCUGGUGCCAUCGCUCUCUCCUCCAGGCUCUGUGGGCUAGAACCCAAGCGGUAUUUACUGUUCAGAUGGUGAGGAAAGAAGCCCUGUUAGGGGUCAAUGAUGGCUUGGUGCCUUGGGGGAGUUGGGGAACAACCAUGGUUCUGGCUUUUCCGUCUGGACUUCAGAUCUCACCGUGCCAGUCUGUCCCCUCACUUCUGUUUCCCUUCCCUUCUCCAGCCUCUGCCCUGGUCCCAGUUCUUCAACCCUAUCUAACUGCGGUGAAUAAAGAGGGCAGACAGGGGAAGAGAGGUCCCCCAAAGCCAGUCCUUUGGAAUAGGGAGCCUUCUGGGGAUCAGCGACUUCUUGGCCACCCCAUAAUCCCUAACCCCUCAAGGACCACAGGAGUCUAGAACUGGGCUGGGAGAUGGGGAUGGGCUUUUUGCAGAGACUGUGCCAGUGGGGUGGGCAGAGGCAGUAGCCCCAAAGAUCAGACACUGGCUCCCAGAGCUUUCCAGGGUGGGUGCUGAAGAUGGAUCCCAAGCUAAGGAGGAGCUGGGCUGGAUGGCUGGGAGCAAGAAGGCUUCUGGGGGGCUGUGUCUGAGUGCAGCAGUGGGGCUGGAGAGCGCUGGGGGUGAGUUAGCCCCUCAGGAAUUCAUUCUGUCCUCUACUUUGCUUUGGGGAGUGAAUCAGGAUAGGGAGGAGGUGGUUACCUACCCUAGGCUUUUAAGAAACAUCAUUUCAAAUGAUCCCUGGUAGCUUUAAGGAGUUGGGCCCCUUGACAGGAAAGAAAUGGUUUCCACCACAUCCCCAUCUCUGGUCAUGCAAUUCCCCAUCCUGCAAGGGCAGGGGAAGAGAAGGAAGAUUUUUUGGGGGCCUUUAGGGAUUCGGUGGGGGGACAGCCCAUCUGCUGCCCACAUCUGAUUGCAGACUCAUCCUUUCCGUUCCCUUCUGGCUAGUAACAAUCCCUGGGGUAGAGCAGGUCUUGGGG
ensembl:lncRNA